GAAUUGGUACAGUAUAGCGGUUAGCAUAGCUACCUUCCAAGCAGGUGACCCAGGUUCAAUUCCUGGCCAAUGUG